UACGGGGGGAGCAAGCGUUGUUCGGAUUUACUGGGCGUAAAGGGCGCGUAGGCGGCCACCGCAAGUCGACUGUGAAAUCUCCGGGCUUAACCCGGAAAGGUCAGCCGAUACUGCGGGGCUAGAGUGCAGAAGGGGCAACUGGAAUUCUCGGUGUAGCGGUGAAAUGCGUAGAUAUCAGGAGGAACACCUGCGGUGUAGACGGCUGGCUGGACCACUACUGACGCUGAGGCACGAAAGCGUGGGGAGCAAACAGG
rnacentral:rRNA from 1 species